rnacentral:rRNA from 1 species
AUUGAACGCUGGCGGCAUGCUUUACACAUGCAAGUCGAACGGUAACAGGGUGCUUGCACCGCUGACGAGUGGCGAACGGGUGAGUAAUGCGUCGGAACGUGCCGAGUAGUGGGGGAUAACGCAGCGAAAGUUGUGCUAAUACCGCAUACGUACUGAGGUAGAAAGUGGGGGACCUUCGGGCCUCACGCUAUUCGAGCGGCCGACGUCUGAUUAGCUAGUAGGUGAGGUAAAGGCUCACCUAGGCGACGAUCAGUAGCGGGUCUGAGAGGAUGAUCCGCCACACUGGGACUGAGACACGGCCCAGACUCCUACGGGAGGCAGCAGUGGGGAAUUUUGGACAAUGGGCGAAAGCCUGAUCCAGCCAUGCCGCGUGUCUGAAGAAGGCCUUCGGGUUGUAAAGGACUUUUGUCGGGGAGGAAAUCCCCAGCGCUAAUACCGCUGGGGGAUGACAGUGCCUGAAGAAUAAGCACCGGCUAACUACGUGCCAGCAGCCGCCGUAACAC